CUGCACAAGUUAGUGGUUACUUGGGCAUGGUUGCUCUCUCAUUUCAGAGUCUCCUUUUGAAGUGGUUCAAAGGUAGAGAGCACUUUAGGAGAAUGGUGUGUUUUAAAACCUGGCUGGCAUUUACAAUGUUCUGCUCUGUUCUUCUCUGCAUUAGCUAUAAGAUAGUGGGCUUUAGUUUGCAGUAGAGAUCUUGUGGCUCAGGAGCCUGAAGAGUUUACUACUCAGCUCUGUGAAUCUUCUUUAAGAUGAUCUUUGAGAAUACCUUUCCAUGUCGUCCUUAAAGCAAGCUAUUGUCAUCCAUUGCUAGCAUUCAGAUUCUCAAGACAAGUAUGUCAUGAGAAAUGAACCUGCAAAGACUACCUGCUUUCUUACCACACUCAUUUCUCCUCACCACUUGUGCCUGCUGAAGGUGAGGCACAAGAAGUUAAGGACAGUUUCUGACCUCAAAUCAGAUUUUACCAUUUUAGGGAUGUAACCUUGAAUGGAUGGUGGUGUUUUAAUUUCUUCCGCUGUAAGUUACCUAUUUUGUUGGCUUUUUGAACAUCAAUGGGUAUAUGUGUCUGAUACUCGUAAUGCUUAGUAGUAUCAGGUAUGAGAAGGACAACAGUUACAGAAGACGCUACUAUAAUCCAUUCAUAGGAAAUACAGAGGGCUGCCAAAUGCAAAGUGAGAGUAUCAACUUUGUUCUAGCCUGUCUGUAGCCUAGAAGGCCUUAAUAUAAAUGUCGGAGGGAAGUUCUCUCAAUAAUUCAGGAUGGUGCUCCAACAGGCCACAAGGGGAGAAAUGGCAGGAGUUAAAGCUGAAAGCAUGCUGAGGGCCAGGUGUGAAUGACAUCAAGACAUUUAAGGACUUUGCUUUAAGAACAAUGGUAACUCACUAAUACAGCAAACCACAUAUGUUGCAUUUUUGAAAUUUCAGUUUGGCUGUCAGGUAGAAAACAUGAAAUUUAAGUAGAUAAAAAGCAUGUGGACCAUUAGAAGGUUUUGAUGUUUAAAACGUCAUCAAUUAGGUAAGUGCUUGUGAGGAUGAAAGUGAGGAGUGACACAUGGACGGGUCUUCUGAGGAGGACGGUGAUAUUUAAAUGUUUUCCAAAGCUGAAGAGGAGGAAUUCAUGACGCCUCUCUUGGUUUCUAUUUUCCAGUUGGUGUUCUUUAUAUAAAGUGGGGACAUUUGCUGUUUAAUGAGGAACAACUUCAGAAGAUGCAGAGUGAGUUUUGAUGGGAAAGAGACUCUUCAUGGGCUACUCUAGAACAAACAAUGGAAACGGAUCACAGGAAAGAAUGAAGGACAUGGUUCAUGUCUGAUUCAGGUGAUUUCUACAAACAGUUCCAGGAGCUUUCUCCAUUCUCCCAGUUGAGAUUGGCAUUAUGCUUAGAGAAGAAAAAGCGUCUCAAAAGAAAACUAGUCACUCUUGAGGUAGAAUUGCCUCACCUGAAGAGGGAGGAGGUAUUUUUCCUUUUCUCUGAGUCAAGAACUCAUGAUCACCAUCACCCAACCCUGCUCACACACACCCUGACCACCACGGGUCUCUAGGCACUUUAAAUUCUAUGAUUUAUAUGAACUCUUACAGGGACGCAGCUGUUCUCCUGGGCAUAUUCACAACACGUUUUUCCACCCACUCACCUCCCAAGGUGGGUUCUUAAGCAAGUAGCAAAAUGAGGUGUGGGCACUGACACAAAGACCAAUGAGGCAUUUUAAGAGAAGUUAAAUUCAGGAAGCUUUAGGGAAACAAACAAAAAUAAAUUUUAAGAAAUCUGUUUGCAUGGAAAGAUAAAACAAUAAUAGAAUGAGAGAGAGAGAGAGAGAGAGA
rnacentral:lncRNA from 1 species